AGUCGUAACAAGGUUUCCGUAGGUGAACCUGCGGAAGGAUCAUUGUCGAAACCUGCCCAGCAGAGCGACCCGCGAACUUGUGAAUUGCGCUCGAGGGUGUCUAGCGCGGGGAGCCUCGUUUGCCCGCGUUGUCCCCCUCCUGUUGCUUGGGGCGAGCGAGUUCUCGCUCGCUCCUUGCGGCCGAACAACGAACCCCCGGCGCGAGUCGCGCCAAGGAAAAUUUAACGAGAGAGAGCGCUCCCCGCCGCCCCGGACACGGAUCGGCGCGCGGGGUGCGUCCCCUUCUUUCAACGAAAAUUCAAAACGACUCUCGGCAACGGAUAUCUCGGCUCUCGCAUCGAUGAAAAAUGCGAUACUUGGUGUGAAUUGCAGAAUCCCGUGAACCAUCGAGUCUUUGAACGCAAGUUGCGCCCCAAGCCUUUAGGCCGAGGGCACGUCUGCCUGGGUGUCACGCAUCGUUGCCCCCCCCCACCCACCCCUCUUUGGGUACGGUUGGACGGGCGGAGAAUGGCCUCCCGUGAGCUCCCGCUCUCGGUUGGCCCAAAUUUGAGUCUUUCGGCGACCUUGCCGCGACGAUCGGUGGUGGAACAUGCCUCUCGAGCUCCCGUCGCGCGCUCGCGUCCCCGUGCCACGGGCUCGCGGACCCUUUUAAGCGCCUUCUCUUCGAGACGGUGCUCGCUUUGCGACCCCAGGUCAGGCGGGACUACCCGCUGAGUUAAGCA
rnacentral:sRNA from 1 species